AACACGGCCAUACAGCCUGGAAACCACACAGCACCCAAUUGAAAAUGAUGCUGUUUGGGGUGGGGAUAUCUACCCCCCGAAAGCAAAGCAUCACUUUCAAUGCGUUAGUUUAAACCUUAGGGAGCCCAGAGUACCCCUCUUAAGGUGGAUUUAAAAGGAGAAUCUGGGCUUUGUAGAAGCUUAAACAAUAUUAAAAGUGAUGCUGUUUCAGGGUGGAUUUCCCGCGUUCAAAAAAUAGCAUCACUUUCAAUGUUGUUUAAACU